UUAGAAAACUCUUCACAAGAGACCAAAUGACACAGAAAUUAACAACUAUAGGUCACCGUACGGCCUUCAACAAUGAGCAAAGCCCAUACCGCGUAGUCAGCUAUAAAAGGCCCCGAAAUGACAAAUGUAAACAAUUCAAACGAGAAAACCAACGGCCCAAUUAAUUGUACAAAAAAAUUAACGGAAAACAAAUAUGUAACACAGCAACAAACUACAACCACUGAAUUACAGGCUCCUGACUUGGGACAUGCACAUACAUACAGAAUGUGGUGGGAUUUAACAUGUUAGCGGGACCCCCCCCUUUAACCAGGGACAGUGGUGUAACAGUACAACAUAAGAAUGAACUAUCAAAAUCAGUUGAAAAAGGCUUAACUCAUCAAAUGGAUACAAAUAGAAAUACAUCUAACAAAAAAAACAGAGCGGACGUGGCCGGGUACUUGUACAUCCCAACAACAAAAAGGCACUAAGUACAGAUCUAAGAGUACUCGCAGUUACUGACAGCUAGUUCAAAAAAAAUAUCAUGCAUCUAAGACUAUGUACCCGUUUCAGCGCUCGCCAGCUGAUACCCUGCUACUUAUUCGUUCCUUAUUCUCUUGUAAUACGUUUUGUAUACGUUGCAACUUUUAAACAAACAAAAAAAAACGUUUCUUGUCGCUGGUGUUAGUUAUAGGUUGUUAGAGGUGAAAGAACUUUUUUUAGCGCAUAUUUACCCGUUUCAGUGCUCGGCUGAUACCCUGCUACCUUUUCGCUACUUAUUCGUUCCUUAUUCACUUUUUAUACGUUACAUCUUUGUAAUGCUUUCUUUUCUUUUAUUUUCUUGUCUCUGGUGUUAGCUAUGGGUUUGUAGAUGGGAAAUAACCCUAUUAGUGCGUAUGUACCCGUUUCAGCGCUCACCUGAUACCCUGUUACUUAUUCGUUCCUUAUUCGCUUAUAAAACGUUUGUUAUAUACUUUGCACCCUUUAAAAAAAAAUUCUGUUCAAUUUUUUUCUUGUUUCUGGUGUUAGCUAUGGGUUCUUACAGGUGAAAUAACUCUUUUAGUGCGUAUUUACCCGUUUCAGCGCUAGGCUAAUACCCUGUUACUUAUUCGCUACUUUUUAUACGUUUCAUCUUUUUAAUGCUUUCUUUUCUUUUCUUUUUUCUUACUCUGGUGUUAGCUGUGGGUUUGUAGAUGGGAAAUAACCCUUUUAGUGCGUAUGUACCCGUUUUAGCGUUCAACUGAUACCCUGUUACCUAUCAGCUACUUAUUCGUUCCUUAUUCACUUUUUAUACGUUGCAUCUUUUUAAUUCUUUCUUUUUUUUUAUUUUCUUGUCUCUGGUAUAAACUGUGGGUUUGUAGAUGGGAAAUAACCCUAUUAGUGCGUAUGUACCCGUUUCAGCGCUCGCCUGAGACCCUGUUUCUUAUUUGUUCCUUAAUCGCUUAUAAUACGUUUGUUAUCCGUUGCACCUUUUAAAAAAAAAUUCUUUUCUAUUUUUUUCUUGUCUCUGGUGUUAGCUAUGGGUUCUUAGAGGUGAAAUAACCUAUAAGCGGGUAUGUACCCGUUUAAGUGCUUGACUGAAACCCUGUUACUCAUUCGCUACUUAUUCGUUCUUUAUCAACCUUUUAUACGUUGCAUCUUUUUAAUGCUUUCUUUUCUUUUCUUUUCUUGUCUCUGGUGUUAGCUGUGGGUUUGUAGAUGGGAAAUAACCCUAUUAGUGCGUAUGUAACCGUUACAGCGUUCGACUGAUACCCUUUAACGUAUCAGCUACUUAUUCGUUCCUUAUUCACUUUUUAUACGUUGCAUCUUUUUAAUUCUUUCUUUUUUUUUAUUUUCUUGUCUCUGGUGUAAGCUGUGGGUUUGUAGAUGGGAAAUAACCCUAUUAGUGUGUAUGUAUCCGUUUCAGCGCUUGCCUGAGACCUGUUUCUUAUUUGUCCCUUAUUCGCUUGUAAUACGUUUGUUAUUCGUUGCACCUUUUAAAAAAAAUUUCUUUUCAAUUUUUUUCUUGUCUCUGGUGUUAGCUAUGGGUUCUUAGAGGUGAAAUAACCCUAUUAGCACGUAUGUACCCGUUUCAGCACUCGACUGAUACCCUGUUACCUUUUCGCUACUUAUUCGUUCCUUAUUCAUUUUUUAUACGUUGCAUCUUUUUAAUGCUUUCUUUUCUUUGAUUUUCUUGUCUCUGGUGUUAGAUGUUGAUUUGUAGAUAGGAAACAACCCUAUUAGCGCGUAUGUACCCGUUUCAGCGCUCGACUGAUACCCUGUUACUUAUUCGUUGCUUAUUCGCUUAUAAUACGUUUGUUAUACGUUGAAUGUUUUAGGAAAAAUUCUUUUCAAUUUUUUUCUUGUCUCUGGUGUUAGCUAUGGGUUCUUACAGGUGAAAUAACUCUUUAAGCGCGUAUUAACCCGUUUUAGCGCUAGGCUAAUAUCCUGUUACUUAUUCGCUACUUAUUCGUUCCUUAUUCACCUUUUAUACGUUGUAUCUUUUUAAUGCUUUCUUUUCUUUUCUUUUCUUGUCUCUUGUGUUAGCUGUGGGUUUUUAGAUGGGAAAUAACCCUAUUAGUGCGUAUGUACCCGUUUCAGCGUUCAACUGAUAACCUGUUACCUAUCAGCUACUUAUUCGUGCCUUAUUAAUUUUUUAUACGUUGCAUCUUUUUAAUUCUUCCUUUUCUUUUAUACUCUUGGGUCUGGUGUAAGCUGUGGGUUUGUAGAUGGGAAAUAACCCUAUUAGUGCGUAUGUACCCGUUUCAGCGCUCGACUGAUACCCUGUUACUUAUUCGUUCCUUAUUCGCUUGGAAUACGUUUGUUAUACGUUGAACGUUUUAGGAAAAAUUCUUUUCAAUUUUUUUCUUGUCUCUGGUGUUAGCUAUGGGUUCUUACAGGUGAAAUAACUCUUUAAGCGCGUAUUAACCCGUUUUAGCGCUAGGCUAAUAUCCUGUUACUUAUUCGCUACUUAUUCGUUCCUUAUUCACCUUUUAUACGUUGCAUCUUUUUAAUGCUUUCUUUUCUUUUCUUUUCUUGUCUCUUGUGUUAGCUGUGGGUUUUUAGAUGGGAAAUAACCCUAUUAGUGCGUAUGUACCCGUUUCAGCGUUCAACUGAUACCCUGUUACCUAUCAGCUACUUAUUCGUUCCUUAUUAAUUUUUUAUACGUUGCAUCUUUUUAAUUCUUCCUUUUCUUUUAUACUCUUGGGUCUGGUGUAAGCUGUGGGUUUGUAGAUGGGAAAUAACCCUAUUAGUGCGUAUGUACCCGUUUCAGCGCUCGACUGAUACCCUGUUACUUAUUCGUUCCUUAUUCGCUUGGAAUACGUUUGUUAUACGUUGAAAGUUUUAGGAAAAAUUCUUUUCAAUUUUUUUCUUGUCUCUGGUGUUAGCUAUGGGUUCUUACAGGUGAAAUAACUCUUUAAGCGCGUAUUAACCCGUUUUAGCGCUAGGCUAAUAUCGUGUUACUUAUUCGCUACUUAUUCGUUCCUUAUUCACCUUUUAUACGUUGCAUCUUUUUAAUGCUUUCUUUUCUUUUCUUUUCUUGUCUCUUGUGUUAGCUGUGGGUUUGUAGAUGGGAAAUAACCCUAUUAGUGCGUAUGUACCCGUUUCAGCGUUCAACUGAUACCCUGUUACCUAUCAGCUACUUAUUCGUUCCUUGUUAACUUUUUAUACGUUGCAUCUUUUUAAUUCUUCCUUUUCUUUUAUUUUCUUGGGUCUGGUGUAAGCUGUGGGUUUGUAGAUGGGAAAUAACCCUACAAGCGCGUAUGUACCCGUUUCAGCUCUCGACUGAUACCCUGUUACUUAUUCGCUACUUAUUCGUUCCUUAUUCACUUGUUAUACGUUGCAACUUUGUAAAGCUUUAUAUUUUUUUUAUUUCUUGUCUAUGUUGUUAGCUGUAAGUUUGUAAAUGGGAAAUAAGCCUAUUAGCGCGUAUGUACCCAUUUGAGUGCUCGCCAGCUGAUACCCUGUUACUUAUCACCUACUUAUUCGUUCCUUAUUCACUUUUAAUACGUUGCAUCUUUUUACUGCUAUCUUUUCUUUUAUUUUCUUGUCUCUGGUGUUAGCUGUGGGUUUGUAGAGGACAAAUAACCCUAUUAGCGCGUAUGUACCCGUUUCAGCGGUCGCCUGAUACCCUGUUACUUAUUCGUUCCUUAUUCGUUUGUAAUGCGUUUGUGUUAUACGUUGCACUUUUUAAGAAAAAAAUCUUUUCAAUUUUGUUCUUGUCUCUGGUGUUAGCUAUGGGUUGUUACAGGUGAAAUAACUCUUUUAGUGCCUAUUUACCCGUUUUGUCGCUCGGCUGAUACCCUGUUACUUAUCCGCUUCUAAUUGUUCCUUAUUCACUUUUUAUACGUUGCAUCUUUUAAAUUAAAUGCUUUCUUUUCUUUUAUUGUCUUGUCUCUGGUGUUAGCUGUGGGUUUGUAGAUGGGAAAUAACCCUAUUAGUGCGUAUGUACCCGUUUCAGCGUUCAACUGAUACCCUGUUACCUAUCAGCUACUUAUUCGUUCCUUAUUCACUUUGUAUACGUUGCAUCUUUUUAAUUCUUUCUUUUCUUUUAUUUUCUUGUCUCUGCUGUAAGCUGUGUGUUUGUAGAUGGGAAAUAACCCUAUUAGUGCGUAUGUACCCGUUUCAGCGCUCGCCUGAGAACCUGUUUCUUAUUUGUUCCUUAUUCGCUUAUAAUACGUUUGUUAUCCGUUGCACAUUUUAAAAAACAUUGCUUUUCUAUUUUUUCUUGUUUCUGGUGUUAGCUAUGGAUUCUCAGAGGUGAAAUAACCUAUAAGCGGGUAUGUACCCGUUUCAGUGCUCGACUGAUACCCUGUUACUCAUUCGCUACUUAUUCGUUCUUUAUCAACUUUUUAUAUGUUUCAUCUUUUUAAUGAUUUCUUUUCUUUUAUUUUCUUGUCUCUGGUGUUAGUUGUGGGUUUGUAGAUGGAAAAUAACCCCAUUAGCGCGUAUGUACCCAUUUCGGCGCACGACUGAUACCCUGGUACUUUUUCGCAACUUAUUCGUUCCUUAUUCAUUUUUUAUACGUUGCAUGUUUUUAAUGCUUUCUUUUCUUUGAUUUUCUUGUCUCUGGUGUUAACUGUGGGUUUGUAGAUUGGAAAUAACCCUAUUAGUGCGUCUGUACCCGUUUCAGCGUUCGACUGAUACACUGUUACCUAUCAGCUACUUAUUCGUUCCUUAUUCACUUUUUACACGUUGCAUCUUUUUAAUUCUUUCUUUUCUUAUAUUUUCUUGUCCCUGGUGUAAGCUGUGGAUUUGUAGAUGGAAAAUAACCCUUUUAGCGCGUAUGUACUCGUUUCAGCGCUCGCCAGCUGAUACCCUGUUACUGAUUCGUUCCUUAUUCGCUUGUUAUACGUUUGUGUUUUACGUUGCACCUUUCAAGAAAAAAAUCUUUUCAAUUGUUUUCUUGUCUCUGGUGUUAGCUAUGGGUUCUUAGAGGUGAAAUAACUCUUUUAGCGCGUAUUUACCCGUUUCAUCGCUCGGCUGAUACCCUGUUACUUAUCCGCUACUUAUUCGUUCUUUAUUCACUUUUCACACGUUGCAUCUUUUUAAUGCUUUCUUUUCUUUUAUUUUCUUGUCUCUGGUGUUAGCUGUGGGUUUGUAGAUGGGAAAUAAUCCUAUUGAGUGCUCGCAUGAUACCCUGUUACUUAUUCGUUCCUUAUUCUCUUUUUAUACGUUUGUUAACCGUUGCACCUUUAAACAAAAAUUCUUUUCAAUGUUUUUCUUGUCUCUGGUGUUAGCCAUUGGAUCUUAGAGGUGAAAUAACCCUAUUAGCGCGUAUGUACCCGUUUCAGCGCUCGACUGAUACCCUGUUACUUAUCCGCUACUUAUUCGUUCCUUAUUCACUUUUUAUACGUUGCAUCUUUCUAAUGCUUUCUUUUCUUUUAUUUUCUUGUCUUUGGUGAUAGCUGUGGGUUUGUAGAUGAGAAAUAACCCUAUUAGCGCGUAUGUACCCGUUUCAGCGCUCGCCAGCUGAUACCCUGUUACUUAUUCGUUCCUUAUUCGCUUGUAAUACGUUUGUGUUAUACGUUGCACCUUUUAAGAAGAAAAUCUUUUCAAUUUUUUUCCUGUCUCUGUUGUUAGUUAUGGGUUGUUAGAGGUGAAAUAACUCUUUUAGCGCGUAUUUGCCCGUUUAAUCGCUUGGCUGAUACCCUGUUAUUAUCCGCUACUUAUUCGUCGUUCCUUAUUCACCUUUUAAACGUUGCAUCUUUUUAAUGCUUUCUUUUUUUCUAUUUUCUUUUCUCUGGUGUUAGCUGUGGGUUUGUAGAUGGGAAAUAACCCUAUUAGUGCGUAUGUACCCGUUUCAGCGCUCGCCUGAUGCCCGGUUACUUAUUCGUUCUUUAUUUGCUUGUUAUACGUUUGGUAUUCGUUCCACCUUUAAAAAAAAAUUCUAUCAAUUUUUUUCUUGUCUCUGAUGUUAGCUAUCGGUUCUCAUAGGUGAAAUAACCCUAUAAGCGCGUAUUUACCCCUUUCAUCGCUCGGAUGAAACCCUGUUACUUAUCCGCCACUUAUUCGUUCCUUAUUCACUGUUUAUACGUUGCAUCUUUUUAAUGCUUUUUUUUCUUUUAUUAACUUGUCUCUGGUGUUAGCUGUGGGUUUGUAUAUGGAAAAUAACUCUGUUAGCGCGUAUGUACCCGUUUCAGCGCUCGACUGAUACCCUGUUACUUAUUCGUUCCUUAUUCACUUUUUAUACGUUGCAACUUUUUAAUGCUUUGUAUAUUUUUCUAUUUUCUUGUCUCUGUUGUUAGCUGUGGGUUUGUAGAUAAAAAAAUAACCCUAUUAGCGCGUAUGUACCCGUUUGAGCGCUCGCCAGCUGAUACCCUGUUACUUAUCAGCUACUUAUUCGUUCCUUAUUCACUUUUUAUACGUUGCAUCUUUUUAAUGCUUUCUUUUCUUUUAUUUUCUUGUCUCUGGUGUUAGCUGUGGGUUUGUAGAUGGGAAAUAAUCCUAUUGAGUGCUCGCAUGAUACCCUGUUACUUAUUCGUUCUUUAUUCGCUUGUAAUACGUUUGUUAACCGUUACACCUUUAAACAAAAGUUCUUUUCAAUGUUUUUAUUGUCUCUGGUGUUAGCCAUUGGAUCUUAGAGGUGAAAUAACCAUAUUAGCGCGUAUGUACCCGUUUCAGCGCUCGACUGAUACCCUGUUACUUAUUCGCUACUUAUUCGUUCCUUAUUCACUUUUUAUACGUUGCAUCUUUCUAAUGCUUUCUUUUCUUUUCUUUUCUUGUCUUUGGUGAUAGCUGUGGGUUUGUAGAUGAAAAAUAACCCUAUUAGCGCGUAUGUACCCGUUUCAGCGCUCGCCAGCUGAUACCCUGUUACUUAUUCGUUCCUUAUUUGCUUGUAAUACGUUUGUGUUAUACGUUGCACCUUUUAAGAAAAAAAUCUUUUCAAUUUUUUUCCUGUCUCUGUUGUUAGUUAUGGGUUGUUAGAGGUGAAAUAACUCUUUUAGCGCGUAUUUGCCCGUUUAAUCGCUCGGCUGAUACCCUGUCAUUAUCCGCUACUUAUUCGUUCCUUAUUCACCUUUUAAACGAUGCAUCUUUUUAAUGCUUUCUUUUUUUCUAUUUUCUUUUCUCUGGUCUUAGCUGUGGGUUUGUAGAUGGGAAACAACCCUAUUAGUGCGUAUGUACCCGUUUCAGCGCUCGACUGAUACCCUGUUACUUAUUCGCUACUUAUUCGUUCCUUUUUCACUUUUUUGUGCGUUGCAUCUUUUAAUGCUUUUUUUUUCUUUUAUUUUCUUGUUUCUGGUGUUAGCUGUGGGUUUGUAGAUGGGAAAUAAGAAUAUUAGCGCGUUUGUACCCGUUUCAGCGCUCGCCAGCUGAUACCCUGUUACUUUUUCGUUCCUUAUUCCCUUUUAAUACGUUUGUGUUAUACGUUGCAGCUUUUAAGAAAAAAUUCUUUACAAUUUUUUUCUUGUCUCUGGUGUCAGCUAUGAGUUGUUAGAGUUGAAAUAACUCUUUUAGCGCGUAUUUAUCCGUCUCAUCGCUCGGCUGAUACCCUGCUACUUAUCCGCUACUUAUUCGGUCCUUAUUCACUUUUUACACGUUGCAUCUUUGUAAUGCUCUCUUUCCUUGCAUUUUUCCUGUUUCUGGUGUUAGCUGUGGGUUUGUAGAUAGGUAAUAACCCUAUUAGCGCUCGCCUGAUACCCUGUCUUCUUAUUCGUUCCUUAUUCGCUUGUAAUACAUUUGUUCUCCGUUGCACCUUUUAAAAAAUUUCUUUUCAAUAUUUUUCUUGUCUUUGGUGUUAGCUAUGGGUUCUUAGAAGUGAAAUAACCCUGUUAGCGCGUAUAUACCCGUUUCAGCGCUCGACUGAUACCCUGUUACUUAUUCGCUACUUAUUCGUUCCUUGUUCACUUUUUGUACGUUGCAUCUUUUUAAUGCUUUCUUUUCUUUUAUUUUCUUGUCUCUAGUGUUAGCUUUGGGUUUGUAGAUGGGAAAAAACCAUAUUAGCGCGUAUGUACCCGUUUCAGCGCUCGCCAGCUGAUACCCUGUUACUUAUUCGUUCAUUAUUCGCUUUUAAAACGUUUGUGUUAUACGUUGCAGCUUUUAAGAAAAAAAUCUUUACAAUAUUUUUCUUGUCUCUGGUGUCAGCUAUGAGUUGUUAGAGUUGAAAUAACUCUUUUAGCGCGUAUUUAUCCGUUUCAUCGCUCGGCUGAUACCCUGUUACUUAUCCGCUACUUAUUCGGUCCUUAUUCACUUUUUACACGUUGCAUCUUUUUAAUGCUUUCUUUUCUUUUAUUUUCUUGUCUCUGGUGUUAGCUGUGGGUUUGUAGAUUAGAAAUAACCCUAUUAGUGCGUAUGUACCCAUUUCAGCGCUGGCUUGAUACCCUGUUACCUUAUUCGUUCUUUAUUCGCUUAUAUUACGUUUGUUAUCCGUUCCACCUUUUAAAAAAAAUUCUUUUCAAUUCUUUUCUUCUCUCUGAUGUAAGCUAUAGGUUCUUAAAGGUGAAAUAACCGUAUUAGCGCGUAUGCACCCGUUUCAGCGCUCGGCUGAUACCCUGUUGCGUAUUCGCUACUUAUUCGUUCCUUAUUCACUUUUUAUACGUUGCAUCAUUUUAAUGCUUUCUUUUACUUUUCAUUUCUUGUCUCUGGUGUUAGCUGAGGGUUUGUAUAUGGAAAAUAACUCUAUUAGCGCGUAUGUACCUGUUUCAGCGCUCGCCAGCUGAUAUCCUGUUACUAAUUCGUUCGUUCCUUAUUCGCUUAUAAUACGUCUGUUAUCCGUUGCAACUUUGAAAAUUCUUUUCAUUUUUGUUCUUGUCUCUGGUGUUAGCUAUGGGUUCUUACAAGUGAAAUAACUCUUUUAGCGCGUAUUUACCCGUUUCAGCGCUAGGCUAAUAUCCUGUUACUUAUUCGCUACUUAUUCGUUCCUUAUUCACUUUUUAUACGUUGCAUCUUUUUAAUGCUUUCUUUUCUUUUAUUUUCUUGUCUCUUGUGUUAGCUGUGGGUUCGUAGAGGUAAAAACUACCUUUAAACGGGAUUUAACUCUUGUUUAUAACUUGGGCGCGUAUGUCUGGAGCGAUUUUGCAAUGGGGCGAGUUGGUAUGGAUUCAAACUUACCUAAGUACUGUUCAUUACUAUCCCCUGUAUCAAUAUUGUACUGAACUCGAGGUAUAAUAUACUUCAAUUUUAGGUAGAAGAACCACUAUAAGCACCAACGAUUUUAAUAUUUUUUAUCAGUAAAAUUAUGGAAAAUAGUCGUUUAUGAGUUAUUCCAUAUACAAGUUUUGACAGAAAUACAGUUAAAGAUUCAUUUAGAAGAGGAAUAAAUAAAAUUUCUUCACAAAUGUAGGAAUGUUCACCCGUAUCAUAUAUUAAUAAGCACCACCAAAAAAAAGAAAUAAAGCACCAUGGACUGCAGCUAUCUUCCAAUAGGUCUAAUUUGCCAGGCUCAGGGUCUAAACCACUUGGUUGGGAUCUUAUCUGAUAAACACAACCCAUUGGUCCACCAGACUUGGUGGUUCAGUUUGUAAGUUAAAGAUGUCCACCUUUUCACAUAUUUAUAAGCACCAACCAAAAAAAAUAAUUAAGCACCACGGACUGCAGCUAUCUUCCAACAUGUCUAAAAUGCAAGCAUCAGGGUCUAAAACACUUGUUUUUGGGUAUAAUCUGAUAAACACAACCCAUUGGUCUACCAGAAUUGGUGGUCCAGCCUGCAAGCUGAAGAUGUCCACCCAUGUCACACUUAUUAACACCACAUAAAAAGCGCUCUGGUUGCAGCUUUCUUCCAAAAGGUCUAAAAUGCAAGACUCAAGGUCUAAACCACUUG